UCCUGACUGAGUUUACUUUUCUCUUCUUUCAGAAAAUGUUUCUCCUACAAUUAUAUGAGAGAAAAACAUCAGAAAUAACCUGUUGAUGUAGAUGCUGAAAGGUUGAAUAUUCAUUUCACAAAUUCCUACUGCAUACCUGCGACAGAAAAACAAAUGGGACAUAUAGUUCCUGCGCUCAAGUCACUUAACAGCCCAAUGAUGACAGUGAGCUUACUGAUACAAUAGUCUCUGCUAUUAAACAACAUUUCAUUAAAAUUAGUUCAUCCCUCCAAAAAAGCGCCAUGGAAUAUGUAUACAAAAAUAAUAAAUGUAUAGUUGUCAAGUUAAAAUACAUCAGUGCAUUGAGUCUACAUUUCUUUAUGUAUUUUUUCAUAGUGAAAAACAUUUAUUGUAAAUAAGGUAGAAGGUGUUGCUACUGUAAAAUGCAAAAAGUUUUCCUUUUCUGAGUAGAUUAGGCAGAAAAGACUUCAGAAGGAAAGAGGAAUUAAUUGUAUAGGCUUUCUCCUUUUUGUUUGGAGGGAAUAUCUUAGAGCUACGAUGAAUAUUUUCCUUUAGGCAAGGCAGGCAUCUUUGUU
rnacentral:lncRNA from 1 species